GGCCUGCAGGUAAUGGGGAGAAAACUGGAAUUUGGGGGAAUUUGGGGUUAUUUAAGGUCAUGGGGACCCCAUGUCUAUGGGGCUGGUGGCCAUAUGGGGUCUCCAUAUCUAUGGGGUCUCCAUAUCUAUGGGGCUGGUGGUGGCCAUAUGGGGUCUCCAUAUCUAUGGGGCUGGAGGUGGGGUCCCCAUAUCUAUGGGGCUGGUGGUGGCCAUAUGGGGUCUUCAUAUCUAUGGGGUCUCCAUAUCUAUGGGGCUGGUGGUGGCUAUAGGGUCCUUAGGGUGAAUUUAGGGUCAUUUUAAGGUAUAGGGAUGGUCUCUAUGGGGUCUCUAUGGGGAUUCUAUGGGGUCUCUAUGGGGUCUCUAUUGGGUUUCUAUGGGGUCUCCUAUAGAGAUGGUCUCUAUGGGGUCUCCUAUAGAGAUGGUUUCUAUGGGGUCUCUAUUGGGUUUCUAUGGGGUCUCUAUGGGUUUCUAUGGGGUUUCCUAUAGAGAUGGUCUCUAUUGGGUUUCUAUAGGGUCUCUAUGGGGUCUCUAUUGGGUCUCUAUUGGGUUUCUAUGGGGUCUCUAUUGGGUUUCUAUGGGGUCUCUAUGGGGUCUCUAUGGGGUCUCUAUGGGGUCUCUAUUGGGUUUCUAUGGGGUCUCUAUGGGGUCUCUAU
rnacentral:lncRNA from 1 species